AGAAAAUAACCUCCAUUUAUAGCUGUGUUUUAUAGAUGUGUUGUGUUUGUGUUCAUCUUGUAAUUUUUGUGAUCUCUAUCCGUUGAAUGAUUGAAAGGUGCAGUGUGGAACAUCAAGUCUACUUCCAGUGCCCCAAAUGAAGAAAUCCAGUAAAUAAUCCGAAAUUGGUUUUGAUUCUCCAAAGACCGUGAUGGAGGUCAAGAAAAACGGAGAAAUGAUCCAGCACCCAAUCACAUGUAACUAGGCCAAGUGCCAAUAAGUAAAUUUUUAGUGAAUCUCAAACAUCCAUAAUCUCUUUUGUAAUGAUUUUACAAUAUACAGACUUUUCAUGCAUUUAA